rnacentral:rRNA from 1 species
GAUGAACGCUAGCGGGAGGCUUAACACAUGCAAGUCGAGGGGCAGCAUAGGGUGGCAAUACUCUGAUGGCGACCGGCAAACGGGUGAGUAACGCGUAUGCAACCUACCCUGUACAGGGGGAUAACCCGGAGAAAUUCGGACUAAUAUCCCGUAAUAAUAUCCGGAGGCAUCUUUGGAUAUUUAAAGUUCCGACGGUACGGGAUGGGCAUGCGUAACAUUAGCUGGUUGGUAAGGUAACGGCUUACCAAGGCUAUGAUGUUUAGGGGUCCUGAGAGGGUGGUCCCCCACACUGGUACUGAGACACGGACCAGACUCCUACGGGAGGCAGCAGUGAGGAAUAUUGGUCAAUGGGCGCAAGCCUGAACCAGCCAUCCCGCGUGCAGGAAGACGGCCCUAUGGGUUGUAAACUGCUUUUCCAGGGAGAGAAACUUACGCACGUGUUGCGUGACUGACGGUACCCUGGGAAUAAGCAUCGGCUAACUCCGUG